UGAAUUAAUCGGUACGAAUUCAUCCGACCUUACCUUCGUGUGAUCCGACCCACCAAGGUCGGAUAAUCUAAAUUUCUGAAUACAUCGAUCAAAACAUUAAUGAAGUCAUAAUUAUUUCGAAAGUUUUUAGAAAAAUCACUUUCAUUGUUUAUAGAAACAAUUUCCAAGUUGUGCCAUUCUUUCUUUGCAUUUUCCCAAGAGUAAAAGAAGGUUUAGCAAUUCAUCUAUCGUUCAAAAUGAAUUCAGGUUUUGAAGUAAAAUGAAUUUAGCUAAAAUCAGAAUCAGAAUAGGUGAAAAGUUUGGUUUUAAAAUUGAACCAAAAACCAGAAUUGCAACGGGCAUGGACGCUUGUUGAAGCUAAAAUCGACAUCUCAUUAACAAUUAACAAACCACUUUGAAAUCCACAACAUUGACAACACAACAUUCUCAAGAAUCUAUGUUGAAAGUAUCAUCACAAAAUACAAAAACUUCACAAAAAUUUUCACUGAUGGGUCGAAAACACAUAAUGGAACUGGUUAUGCCAGUAUAAUCCAUAAUUGUCAAUACUCUGGAACACUCAACCCAAUCUGUUCUUCAUAUACUGCUGAACUAUUUGGAAUCAAACAUGCAUUAUCACUAAUCUUCAACAUUCAUCAAUUGUAUUUCCUGAUCCAUUUCGACUCUCUUAGUUCUCAACAGACAAUCAACAACAUGGAAAACGAAAACAACAAUCUACUCGUUGACCAAAUUCAUUAUCUACUACAGAGUAUAUUAACAUCUCAACAAAAAACUGGCACAUUUCUCUGGAUCCCCAGCCAUAAAGGACUAACUUCCAAUGAGCAGGCUGAUGAACUGGCAAAACAAGCAACAGAAAUGUUGGUUCACCAAUGAAAUAAUACCACAUUAUUAUGAUCUCCAAAACUGCUGGAAGAAUGCAAUCUUGCAACACUGGAAAGUUGAAUGGAAUCAAACAAACAACCAUCUAGCAUCAUUCAAAAAAGACACAAAACGCCUUAAAACUGUUCGUAUACCAGAAUCCAAAGAAAUCAAAAUCAGCAAUGUAGGUACUAGAGCUGAAAAUGGUACUCGCUGACAGUGGGUAACUACUGUACCCAUAUUGUAAAUUCUCGCUUCUCGCUAGUAGCGGGUAGCGAGUUGAAAAAAUGUUGCACCAGUUCACAAUAUAACUAGUUGCACAUUGAAUGCGUAGCCGGUGUACCGGCAUGACAUCAUCAUUGUCAUCAAUCAUGUCAAAUGUCAAUCACACAUACAAA